UGUAUGUAUGUAUAGAUGUGCAGAUUUGUAUAUUUUGUUUUAUGUAUGUAUUCUCAUGCAUAUAGCUGCAUAUCUAGACUUGUGCAUAUACACUUAAAUGGUGAACUUCUGGAAAUUUUAACAGGUUUUUACAGUUCUAGUGAUGGAUUGGUUCUGUAGUUUUCAAAUCAGCUUUCUCCUUU